rnacentral:antisense_RNA from 1 species
CUCUGUGACUGGCUUGCUUGAUGGUUAGGGUCUGAUCGCUGCCUGAGACACCAUAUCGGUACUCCUCAGAGUUGAUGAUAGCCAAUGACUCUACUUCCUCCAUCACUGACUGGCUCAUUCCAUUGUACUUCCAUGCUGUCCCUGGAGGACAGUGUGACAAGUGGAGUGCCAGGAGGACCAGGAACUUUGAAUGGAUAUUGGGCUACAAUAGGCUCUGAAUUGAGGUGGCUGCCAUGAGAUAGUCAUGUGUUCAGGAGUAACAUCCAGAAUAUUAAUAGGACCUGUUGGUGGCCCAGGAACAUCAAGAACAGUAAGAUGUACGGCUACUGUUUUGCUACCGGCUGCAUUGGAAACUGUGAUUUGAUAUUCCCCAGUGUCUCUCCUUAAGCAGUUCUUAAUGAGAAUAGACGCCUUGAUGGCUCCUCUGGCAGUUCUUGAUGACCAUGGAUGAGCUAAUGGCUGUGGUCUCAAUGGUGGCUUCUUGAGAUUAUUUACAGCUGUGAUGGUAUAUAAGCCAGUGUCACUCCUGCGAGACUGCGGAAUAACUAAAGUGCAAGUAUCAUCUACCACCAGUUUGUUGACAUGGGUGUCAUAGAGAACAGGUUCUUUGUUAUCAGGCUUCUUUGGAGGAGCUUUAAACCAGGAGCAUGCAGAGAAAUUGCUUUAGCCUCUGAUAAAUAAAACAGACUGCCAUGGAGAAAAUUACAGCGAGGAAAUUACAGACAUCAUCUCCUUUGAACAGGGAAAAGGUAACAGCAGUGUUGGUGACUUCCUCCCAUUCUGCUUUCUUCCUACUUGCAUCACGUUUGUCAAUAACAUAAUGGGUGAUUU